rnacentral:sRNA from 1 species
CGCCCGUCACACCACGAGAGUUUACAACACCCGAAGCCGGUGGGGUAACCGCAAGGAGCCAGCCGUCGAAGGUGGGGUAGAUGAUUGGGGUGAAGUCGUAACAAGGUAGCCGUAUCGGAAGGUGCGGCUGGAUCACCUCCUUUCUAUGGAGAAUCGUCUUCUGCAACGAAGACAUUCAAAUAAGCAGCUAAGCUGCAAAACACUCACUCGUUGCUCAGUUUUGAGAGUUCAACUCUCAAUUUGUUCUUUGAAAACUAGAUAAACGAAACAAUUUUGCGAUUUAGAAAUAUCCUUUUCACUUUACUCGUGUCAAAACAAGUAAAGUAUGAAAUAGAGUGCUUAGUUGGUUAAGCUAUUAAGAGCACACGGAGGAUGCCUAGGCGCUAGGAGCCGAUGAAGGACGUGGCGAACAACGAUACUGCCUCGGGGAGCUGUACGCAAGCUUUGAUCCGGGGAUGUCCGAAUGGGGAAAUCCAGCUAUCGUAAUGGAUAGUUAUCUCCACCUGAAUACAUAGGGUGGUUGAAGGCAGACCAGGGGAACUGAAACAUCUAAGUACCUUGAGGAAGAGAAAACAAUAGUGAUUCCGUCAGUAGCGGCGAGCGAACGCGGAUUAGCCCAAACCAGGGAGCUUGCUCUCUGGGGUUGUGGGACGUCUCACAUGGAGUUACAAAGGAACUGAUUAAACGAAGAGGUCUGGAAAGGCCCGCCAAAGAAGGUAACAGCCCUGUAAUUGAAAGUCUGUUCUCUCCGAGACGGAUCCCGAGUAGUGCGGGGCACGUGAAACCCCGUAUGAAUCCGGCAGGACCAUCUGCCAAGGCUAAAUACUCCCUAGCGACCGAUAGUGAAGCA